rnacentral:lncRNA from 1 species
CUUUUGUGCUGUCCUAGGGUCUAUAAAUAGGACCCCUAGGUUCUCCUUUUCCUUCAUCCAUCCAUGGCUCUUCUUGUGAGUCUCUUUGCUGAUUUUAUUCAGGGAGAGAUUGAGGAGCUGGAUCGAAUUUUGAAUAUUUUGGAUCCUCGGUCGUCAACCUUGGAUCUUCCUUCUCUGCGCCAGCUUAUUGUUGAGCGGCAGAGUGUUGCUGUUGCUGCUCGGGAGUCCCUUUUCGAAGAAUGGUCUGGUUGCGAUCUUCCGCCUGCCUCUUCUUCUGCUAUUCCUCCCCGUGGCCGACGUCGGAGGCGUCCCCGCCGCGGUGCUUCUCCGCUGGAUCAGGUCCCUCGUCGCUUGUGUCGCCGUAUUAAUUUUAAUUAGGAGCCUGUAAAAUUUUUCAUUCAUCAUUUUUGCAAUUUUGAAUAAAUAUCUUUUACCUUUUCCUUUAUUUGCCUUACACCUUUACUUUGAAGUACGUUAGUGUAACCGAAAUUUUUCUUGGUCAGUACCAUAUUCCUUUUUUCCUUUUCUAAAGGUGUCUGAUUUUUGGCAAGUCGAUCUCGUUGAAAUGUCGAUGUUGCCUAAAAAUGUCGAUCCCACCUUUUUUUCCGAGAAAGUCGAUGACUGCUGAUCCUUUUCUAAAGGUGUCGACUUUUUGACAAGGCGAUCUCAUUUCUCCCUGGAAAUGUCGAUGUUGUAAAAAAUGUCGAUCCCACCUUUUUUCUGAGGAUGUCGAAGACUGCUGAUCCUUUUCUAAAGGUGUCGAAUUUUUGACAAGUCGAUCUCAUUUCUCCCUGGAAAUGUCGAAGUUGUAAAAAAUGUCGAUCCCACCUUUUUUCUGAGGAUGUCGAAGACUGCUGAUCCUUUUCUAAAGGUGUCGAAUUUUUGACAAGUCGAUCUCAUUCCUCCCUGGAAAUGUCGAUGUUGUAAAAAAUGUCGAUCCCACCUUUUUCUGAGGAUGUCGAUGAGAGUGGUGUGGAAUGUCGAACCUGACCUUCUCUUUUGAAGGUUUCGAAUUCCUUGCCAAAUGUCGACGCCUAUUCCCUUCUCCUGGGAAUGUCGAACAUGCUUUCCUGCGGAAUGUCGAUCCUGACCUUCUCUUUGGAAGGUAUCGACUUCCUUGUUAAAUGUCGACACCUAUCCCCUUUUCCUGGGAAUGUCGAACAUGCUUUUCUGCGGAAUGUCGAUCCUGACCUUUUCUUUUGAAGGUGUCGACUUCCUUGUUAAAUGUCGACGCCUAUCCCCUUUUCCUGGGAAUGUCGAACAUGCUUUUCUGCGGAAUGUCGAAGGUUUUUCUGAAAUGUCGAUGGAUCUUCUUGAAAUGUCGAUGGCCUCUAGUUGGGUUUUGGGGUUUUUCACGGACUGGGCCGUCUUGGGCCUGCCGGGCCCGUGGACUUCCUGGUCCAACGGGUCCACCCGGAUGAACAGUGCCCGCGACGGUUCGUAUUCGACUUUCCCCUAUAAAUAGCGGAUGGAGUUCAUUUGUUUUCUCACUCGUUUUCUUCGCUCUGAGGCAUCGACUUUCUUCGCCUCGACUUUCUCGCUUCGACUUCCAGUUCCUUCGCUUCGACUUCCAGCGUGCGUGAGGCUUCGACUUUAGCCUUGGAGGUGCAGCUUUCUGGGGUCCGACUUUUGUUGUCGGGCUCUACUGAGGCUGUACUGGGUUCGACUUCCUUGGUGUCCGACUUUUCUGAAAGUCGGUCCCUUUCGAAGUUGUUCCCCA